UGCAUCAAAUAUACAUGCUUUCCACUGAAGCGCAAGAGUGUAAAUUCUGAUCGUGAGUCUCUAUAACAGUAAUAGGCUACCCUUUCUCAUGCGCUCACUGCUGUAUUUCUCCCAUUUCUCCGCUAGGAAGCUGUGUUGUUCUUUGUUUCUGGGACAACACGAUGCAGGCUCUGUGCCCCAGACUGACAGACAUUUUUUCUCUCCAUUGCUCUGGUUUACUACUAUUAUCAACCAACAUAAGGAUAGUUUUGUGGACAGUUCUCUGUUGCAAUAAUUCGGACUAUCAAAACACGGGCACUGAAGGGAGUCACCCACAAUCUGUUUUUGUCAAUAAAAAAAAACAUUCACAGGAGAAAUCACCGUCGUAGUUCCCCUUCGGAAACCAUUUGUCUGCUUUUCAAUUAAAUUGGGAGUCAGCGAGGCCCUAAGAACAGAAGCGUCCCAGGAUUGCACCAUGGCACAUUUGUCACAGAUAGAACAAGGACAGCUGCUACCACACCCUUCCCCCUUCACAGUGUCCCCAGUUUGCAAAUGGCUCCUGAGUCCUGACCCUCUGUUUGGCCCUCCCUGGGGAUGCUGGGAAAGGCAGUCAGACGGGCCCUUCUCCCUUGUUGUCCUCCUCCUAUGUCACCCCACGGUAAUCGUCAGUGGUCAUGUGAUGCCACAUGGGAACGUUCUCCUCUAUCCCAGAGUUCUGUGUGGAUAAGGGGAUGAAAGGGUUGGGCGGGGACCCAUUGACAAGUAUGGUCGGUCUAUGGGCUGUUACUACCUGCUGUAGCCCUACAUCGAUUUAAUCUCUCUGCUUUAUCAUGAAAUCUUUCAGUAAGUCUUAGUAGCCAUGGUAUUAGCAUGCAACUUUUGACUGUGGAAAGUUUUCUAUCACUUUCUUCUGUGUUUAAAACAACUUAAUAUAAAGGUGCUUUCUGCUUCGACAGUAAAAAAUAAACAUGCCAUUUAUUUGCCAUUUCAUUAAA
ensembl:lncRNA